CCUCUUUCUCUCUCUGCGAUUUGAGGUGGAAUGAUCUGGUGGUGGCCCGCGGGGUCGUAGGUGCGAGAGAUGACGCUGGAGGCCAGAUCUGGAGGCUUAGCUAAUGCAGCACCACAGACAACUUAGGUAAGAAAAAACAUGUUCUUGUUUUGUUCAUUGUGCUUUUUUUAAACCAUGCUCCGCCAAUAUAUAAAGAUUUUAUGUCCGAUUCAUAGACAUCCUUACAAAGUGUGCAUGUAUGUCCCCUACAAAAUCUCUCUCUCUCUCUCUCUCUCUCUCUCUCUCUCUCUCUCUCUCUCUAUUUGCCUUUGAGAUUGCAGAUGCGAGCACUAGGUGUUUGUACAAAUGCUCAAGGUGGAGUUCUCACAAGAGGACGACAACUUUCAGGCAAUAGGUAACCGUUCAGGCGAGGGUGUAAUACAGAAUAUGAAGCAGGAGCUGGUCUUGCUGCUGCUGCUGAAGGAAGAAGCGUAUGUGUACGAGGAGGAGGUGAAGGCGACGACAGAGCCAUAGCUGCUUGCCAGCUCCGGCAAUCCCUCCUGCCAGAAGCACAACACCAUGUCCUAGAGUGUUAUUAAUAUGGUGAGUGAUUGAAGGGUAAGCAUGAGGAGUAGAGCAGUCCAAAGGGCGGAUGGAGCAUGUGACUUAUUCAGAAAGAACAAAUUUUCUUUUAGAUGAUUUGAGUGUAUGCUGAUGUGUGAAAGUUAAUCAUUUGGAUUCACAACUAGCCUAUUGUGUGUGUUCAGUAUUUUGUUGUGCAUUGUUAAAAUGUUUUCAGUGUCCGAGUGCGCAAGUUGAAUUUUGAAACAGAUCAGAGGACAACCCUGCAUAAAGGAAUUUGCCCUUUAGGAAGGUUCAGGUUUGCUGUUGUGAUUAAAAUUAGGAGAUUUAUAUGCCUAUAACAGAAAAGUUCCUCAAGCUAAUAAUUUUUCAGCCAUUGUAAAAGGCCAUGUUGCACAGGUGUUUUGGGCUUCAAUUUAGGCAGGUGACACCUUGAUGAAAUAGUUUGCAUGUUUGGAUAGCCAUAUCUUAGUAAAUUGUGGGUUUGAUCUCCAAAUGUGCUUGAACAUAAUCAUUUGGCUCUGUGUUUCCUGAAUGAGAUAACAAAAUGUGCAUGCUCAAGUAUAUAUUUUCAAAGAUAAAUUAUCCUUCAUUUUUCAGGGUUUGAAUUAGUGCGUUGCUAAGACCUACUUCUACUAACAAAGUCAAAUAUUUACAAAACACUUGGGUUUGACAUGUCCUUUGUGCUUGCUAACAUAAAGUUAUUGAAAAAAUGCA